rnacentral:rRNA from 1 species
CUACGGGGGGCAGCAGUGGGGAAUAUUGGACAAUGGGGGAAACCCUGAUCCAGCAAUGCCGCGUGUGUGAAGAAGGCCUGCGGGUUGUAAAGCACUUUCGGUUGGGAGGACUGCUUCUAGCACUAAUAUUGUUGGAAGUUGACGUUACCUUCAGAAGAAGCACCGGCUAACUCCGUGCCAGCAGCCGCGGUAAUACGGAGGGGGCAAGCGUUAAUCGGAAUUACUGGGCGUAAAGCGCGCGUAGGCGGCUAGAUCAGUCGGGUGUGAAAGCCCCGGGCUUAACCGGGGAACUGCAUCCGAUACUGUCUAGCUUGAGUACAGGAGAGGAGAGUGGAAUUCCACAUGUAGCGGUGAAAUGCGUAGAUAUGUGGAGGAACACCAAUGGCGAAGGCAGCUCUCUGGCCUGAUACUGACGCUGAGGUGCGAAAGCGUGGGGAGCAAACAGGAUUAGAUCCUGGUAGUC